rnacentral:misc_RNA from 1 species
GUGAGUCAUCGAAUCUUUGAACGCACAUUGCGCUUCGUGGUAUUCCGCGGAGCAUGCUCGUUUCAGAAUCAUUAAAAAACUCACAGCCUGUGGAAUGUUGUCCGGUUUUUACUCCUUGUGGGUAUAACCUGCAGCAUUAUCACCGGCCUGUAGGAUAUGGGCACUUUGGCGAUAUUAGCCAAUUGCCUCAAAGUUAGAGAGUGCGUGACUUUUUGUUAAUUUGCCGACCCUCAGUGCAACAACUUUAGAUUCACUCCUGGGCACAAAUUGAGAGUCACCACCUGUAAAGAACACAGAGCC